rnacentral:snRNA from 1 species
GUCACUUUAAAAUGCACAUAUACUAAAAUUAGAAAGCUACAGAGAAGAUUACCAUGGUCCCUGAACAAAGAUGCCAUGCAAAUUUGUGAAGCAUUCCAUAAUUUU